AAAGGGUGCGUAGGCGGUUUAAUAAGUCUAUGGUCUAAGUUCAACGCUUAACGUUGUGAUGCUAUAGAAACUGUUUGACUAGAGUUGGAUAGAGGCAAGUGGAAUUCCAUGGUAGCGGUAAAAUGCGUAAAGAUAUGGAGGAACACCAGUAGCGAAGGCGGCUUGCUGGGUCUUAACUGACGCUGAGGCACGAAAGCGUGGGGAGCAAACAGGAUUAUACCCUGGUAGCACGCCGUAAACGAUGAGUACUAAGUGUUGGGUUAAACCAGUGCUGAAGUUAACGCAUUAAGUACUCCGCCUGAGUAGUACGUACGCAAGUAUGAAACUUAAAGGAAUUGACGGGACUCCGCACAAGCGGUGGAUCAUGUUGUUUAAUUCGAAGAUACACGAAAAACCUUACCAGGUCUUGACAACUCUGCAGCUAUAGAAAUAUAGUGGAGGUUAUCAGGGUACAGGUGGUGC
rnacentral:rRNA from 1 species